AAAACGGAAAGUGGACGAUACUUGGUUCCCUGUUACUUUCGAUGAAAUGAAGGCAUACUAUGCACUGUGUAUUCUAAUGGCUCAAGUCAGAAAACCAAAUAUCCAAAUGUCUUGGUCUAAAAGACCACUAAUAGAAACGCCAAUAUUUAGAAAAGUAAUGCUUUUUAAAAGAUUUAAACAAAUUUCGAAAGUCUUACAUUUUUGCAAUAAUGAAACUGCCGACAGGAAUGACCAGCUUCGAAAGAUAAGACCUAUCAUCAACCUUUGGAAUGAGAAAUUUAAAGAAAUUUACACAUCGGAUAAAUAUGUCAGUAUAAACGAAUCUUUAAUGAAAUAUAAAGGACGUUUAUCAUAUAAACAAUUUAAUCCAUCGAAAAGAGCGAAUUUGGAAUAAAAAUUUACAAAUUAUGUGAGGCAAGUACCGGUUUUUGUUGCGAUUUCAAAAUAUAUAUUGGCCAGGACAAAAUUGAUCGAAAUUCUAGUGCGUCAGAGAAUGUUGUCAUGGACUUGUCGAAAUCCAUACUGAAUAAGGGAUAUACUUUAUUUCUUGAUAACUGGUACUCCACCCCCAACCUCUUUUUAAAAUUAUAAAACAAAUGUUAUCGGGACAGUACGCAACAAUAGGCAAAAUAUGUCAAAAAAUAUUCAAACAAAAAUUUUAGAGAAAGGAGAAUGUUUAUGAAGAAGUUGUAAUAAUUUGUUGGCUCUGAGAUGGAAGGAUAAGCGUGACGUGUAUAUGAUCUCAACAAAACACGAAAGUGUAGAGAUGGUUGAAUACAUAGACAAACAGUUUAAAAAAAACAAUGAAGCCCAAAUGCAUCCUGGAAUACAAUAAGGGAAUGGGUGGACUCAAUCACCAAGAACAAACAUUGGCCUGUUUUCCAAUUAUGAGAAAAGUCAUCAAAGGAUACCGAAAACUUUUUUUCUAUAUGUCGGAUAUAGCCUUGUUCAAUACGUAUAUUAUUCAUAAAACAAUACACAGGCCAAGAAAGGAAACAUAUGUGGAUUACUGAUUAAAAAUAGCGGAGCUAAUUUUAAAAAAUGUUCAAUUACCGGACUACGAAAAGCAUGGAAAACCUUCACUAGGUGAAACACCUCUUCGACUCCAAGCAGGAUAUUGGGAUUUUCCAAAACAUAUCGAUCCGACGCCUAAAAAAAAGAACCCAACAAGGAUGUGCAAAGUUUGUUCUAAACACAACGUGCAAAGCGAAACGACGUGAAAAUGCACGGAGUGUAAAGUGGCUUUACAUUUAUCACAAUGCUUUCAAAGUACCAUACCAUGCCGGAAUACUACUAAUUUUUAAAGUUGCGUCGCGUUAUUACAUUCCUUCUGAAGAAGUCACACCUAAAGACGCCCAAGAAGAUUAUAAUUUCUAUUAAAGCACUGUUCGUGUAUAAAUUAGUUUUGACACUGUUAUUUCUUGUCUAUUAUGCAGGAUUUACAGUACUAAUAUUUAUAUUUUGAAGUAUUGAUUGGGAUAUUGUAUUAAAAAUAUGUAUAUAAAAAAGGAA